rnacentral:rRNA from 1 species
UACGAAGGGGGCUAGCGUUGUUCGGAAUUACUGGGCGUAAAGCGCACGUAGGCGGAUCGUUAAGUCGGGGGUGAAAUCCUGGAAGCUCAACUCCAGAACUGCCUUCGAUACUGCAUGGCUUGAGACCGGAAGAGGUAAGUGGAACUGCGAGUGUAGAGGUGAAAUUCGUAGAUAUUCGCAAGAACACCAGUGGCGAAAGGCGGCUUACUGGUCCGGUUCUGACGCUGAGGCGGCGAAAGCGAUGGGGAGCAAACAGGG